GGCUGAAGUAGGUCCCAAGGGUAUGGCUGUUCGCCAUUUAAAGUGGUACGCGAGCUGGGUUUAGAACGUCGUGAGACAGUUCGGUCCCUAUCUGCCGUGGGCGCUGGAGAAUUGAGGGGGGCUGCUCCUAGUACGAGAGGACCGGAGUGGACGCAUCACUGGUGUUCGGGUUGUCAUGCCAAUGGCAUUGCCCGGUAGCUAAAUGCGGAAGAGAUAAGUGCUGAAAGCAUCUAAGCACGAAACUUGCCCCGAGAUGAGUUCUCCCUGAGACUUUAAGUCUCCUGAAGGAACGUUAAAGACUAUGACGUUGAUAGGUCGGGUGUGUAAGUGUAGCGAUACAUUGAGCUAACCGAUACUAAUGAACCGUGAGGCUUAACCUUACAACGCCGAAG
rnacentral:rRNA from 1 species